CGCCCCAAGCAACGGGCAAAGAGACAUCUUGGUGGUGUUGGUGUUCUUAUAUCAAUCAGGGGCAGAGCAGAUGGCGGUCCUUCAUUCAUCCUAGCUUGAUGCCUGGCUUGGUGUCCAAAGCUGUCUUAUGCCUAAAACUCAUAA